GAUUAAGCCAUGCAUGUGUAAGUGUAAAUAUACUAGUUUGGAACUGCGAAUGGCUCAUUAUAUCAGUUAUAGUUUAUUUGGUGAAGUGUACUACUUGGAUAACCGUAGUAAUUCUAGGGCUAAUACAUGAGAAAGUCCUCUGGUGAGGUGUGUUUAUUAGAAUGAAAACCAUAUGCCUCGGCAUGAUAGUGAGUAAUAGUAACCUAUCGUAUCGCAUGCUUAAUGUAGCGAUGAGUCUUUCAAGUUUCUGCCCUAUCAGCUUUCGAUGGUAGUAUAUGGGCCUACCAUG
rnacentral:rRNA from 1 species